rnacentral:rRNA from 1 species
GACGAACGCUGGUGGCGUGCUUAACACAUGCCAGUCGAACGGGAUUUAGUAAACAGAAGCCUCGGUGGAAGAUUACUAAUGAGAGUGGCGAACGGGUGAGUAACGCGUGAGCAACCUGCCUAUGACAGUGGGAUAGCCUCGGGAAACCGGGAUUAAUACCGCAUAAAAUCGUAGAAACACAUGUUUUAACGGUCAAAGAUUUAUCGGUCAUAGAUGGGCUCGCGUCUGAUUAGCUAGUUGGUGAGAUAACAGCCCACCAAGGCGACGAUCAGUAGCCGGUCUGAGAGGAUGAACGGCCACAUUGGAACUGAGACACGGUCCAAACUCCUACGGGAGGCAGCAGUGGGGAAUAUUGCACAAUGGGGGAAACCCUGAUGCAGCGACGCCGCGUGAACGAAGAAGGUAUUCGUAUCGUAAAGUUCUGUCCUAUGGGAAGAUAAUGACAGUACCAUAGAAGAAAGCUACGGCUAAAUACGUG